rnacentral:lncRNA from 10 species
GAGGCCCUAUUUGAGAGUCAUACACUUAUACUAGUUUUAUUUGUUGUUGUUGUUUAUAAUCUGAAGAAAUGAACUUCAGCCAUCUAGAACAAAAAUAAUUGGAUUUGUUGGAGGGUUACGGACUGAGGAAGAUCCUGGAAGGUGCCAGCAAGUGAGGUUAGGUUUCCCACUGUAGAUGUAAUGGAAACAUGGUUUCCCCACCAACUUCGAGGCUUGAGAGCAUUCAGGAAAAGUUUGGUCAACCUUGUAGGGGAACCAGCCCGCUAUACCACCCGCGGGUUCUCCCCUUCCCAGUGGAGACGAGGGAAUGAGAAAAGAAAUAAAGACAAACACACAAAGUUCAAGAGUUAACAAAAGUGGGUCCAGGGGUCCAUCGCAAUGUGGAAACUGCGACAGCCCUGAGCUCUGGAUUCCACUGAUAUUUACUGAGUAAUCCUUAAAGUCCAACUAAUUGGUUAACAGAACAGGACGUGAAAGCAGACAGCCCGUCAGACCACAGGCCUGUGCAUCAAAGGAGCGGUCCACUCCAAGCACCAUCAGCAGGGCAGCAGAGCUCUCUGCCUCUGGGAACGAGCGAGAGAUAGAAGACUUUCCCCUUAUCCUCAGAGGACUUCUCCUCUUUUACAAGCAACCUCCUGCUGUUCCCUUCUGGGGAAUGGAGCAGGGGUCGCUUCCCUUCCCACAAGACCUUUGUUCAGGGACUCAAGUGGGAGGUUGAGCAAUAAGCAAGCUUUCUUGCUUAGAGGCUCCGCACACUUCCUGUGUAGGGGAACCAGCCCGCUACACCACAUGCGUGUUCUCCCCUUCCCGGUGGAAAUGAAGGAAUGAGAAAAGAAAUAAAGACACAAAGUUCAAGAGUUAACAAAAGUGGGUCCAGGGUUCCAUCACAACACGGAAACUGCGAAGGCCUUGAGCUCUGGAUUCCACUGAUGUUUAUUGAGUACAAUUCCUUUGAUCCUAUGGGCUGAGGGGGCUUAACAGAACAGGAUGUGAAAGCAGAUAGCCCGUCAGACCACAGGCCUGUGCAUCAAAGGAGUGGUCCACUCCAAGCACCAUCAGCAGAGCAGCAGAGCUCUCCGCCUCUGGGAACGAGCGAGAGAUAGAAGACUUCCUCCUCAUCUCUACCGCAGAGGACUUCUCCUCUUUUACAAGCAGCCUCCUGCUGUUCCCUUCUGGGGAAUGGAGCAGGGGUCGCUUCCCUUCCCACGAGACCUUUGUUCAGGGACUCAAGUGGGAGGUUGAGCAAUAAGCAAGCUUUCUUGCUUAGAGGCUCCGCACAC